GUUACCAUUUGUGUAUUGCUGAAGAAAGAAAGUCCUAUGGAUUUGGAAAGAGGUGAAGGAGCAUCUUUGCGACGCACUCGGCUCCAGCAGACUGAAGAUGAUUGUCAGAGAGAUCCUGGAAGACACCAGAAGUUAACAUUUUGCUUCCCUCUAGUGGACAAAUGCAUCACAGCAGCUCCAGGGUUGUGGUGUGCAUGUCUGUCUACACACACAGAGCG